UGCCCCGGACCGAGGCGGAGCGGAGGCGGACGCGCGGGGGGGCGGGCGGGCAGGCAGGCAGUGAGCGCGCUCUGCUCCGGCCCGCGCGGCUCCCGCGCCCCACGCGCUGCGCCAACCUCGCCAGCUGCCGGGCGGCUUUCAUUCUGGGAGUGGGCGGGCGAGGCGCCGCCUCGGGCCGCUGCGCUAAUUGGCUGCCGAACUGAGCCCCCUGCGCCACGGGCGCCGCUCCGGACGCUGAUUGGCGAAUCUGGAAAAGACGUGGGGAGGCAUGACUUGGCGCGACCUAAAGAUGCAGUUUUUAAGUCAGAGCACCCCAGCAAUCAAGUAACUUCCGUUUGCACAGCGUUUUGGAGAGCUUACAACUGAGUGAAAUCCUCGAACAAACCUCAGAGAGGUUCAGAGAGGUUUUGGUUCUUGCCUAAUGAAGAAAAUGAGACCCGGAGAAGAGAAGGGCUCCUUUAAGGUCACACGGUGAAUUUGUCACAGCCGGAACUAGGACUCAGGCCUCUUCAUGACUGGCAUGGUGGCCUUCGCACUAUAUCAUGGAACCUGAAGAAGUCUGGAAUGAAACAGGAAGAGUCAGAGUGUGACAGUGUCUUCGAGGGAUACCUUCAGAUUGAUGGAAGCAGGAAGACAGAUCAGGAUGGGCCUCAUCUCAGAGAUACUGAUGACUUCCUUCUCUGGAAGAUGGGGUUUUAGCAUUCUUACGCCUCCCCUGACCUGGUGGGCUGAACACUGCACCCCUCCCCAAAUGUCCCUGCCCUAACCCCCCAAACCUGUGAAUGUUACCUUAUUUGGCAAAGGAGACUUAGCACAUGUGAUUAAAGUUAAAAACCUGGAAAUGAGAUUUUCCUGGAUUAUCUGGGCGGGCUCGAUCCAAUCACGAGUCCUUAAAAGUGAAAGGCAGUAGAGCAGGUCAGAGACGUGACCAGGGAAGACGAGGCAGGAGAAGGUGGAAGCCCCGUUGCUGGCUGUGAAGGUGGACGAAGGGGGCCACGGGUCAAGGAAUGUGGGUGCCUCCAGAAGACGACCAGCCCUCCGCUGACGGCCAGCAAGGAAAUGGGAACUUCAGUCCUCCCCACGGCAGGAAACCGAAUUCUGCCAACAACCUCAGUGGGCAAGGCGAUGGAUUCUCCCUGGAGUCCCCGGAAGGCAUGCAGCUCUGCCCCCACCUUGACUUUCUCCCAGCGAGACCCACGUCUGACUUAGGACCCACGAGUGUUAAGAUAAGAAAUUUCUGGGGAAUACCCUGGUUAGGGCUCUGCGCUUCUACUGCUGAGGGCGCGGAUUCAGUCCCUGGUCGGAGAACUAAGAUCCCACAAGCGGCUCAGAGCGGCCCCCCCCCAAAAAAAAAAGAUAAUAAAUUUGUUGCCUCAAGCCACCAACUUUGUUGAGCAAAUAGCAGCAAUAGAAAACACACCUCUCACUCUGACACAUAUACUUCCUCAUGCCCUUCUGAUAUAUUAAUAACUAUAAUUCAAAUUUCAGUGUUUAUGUAAGAUGAAACAUUGUUCCCAGCCAAUCCAUGUAGUGUACCAGAAUUACAUUUGUCUCUCUCUUUUUUGUUUUUCCUGGAGUUAAUAAUUGCCUGUUUUGUUUAAUUUCCUGUAUAUUUAUGAAUUCAGACCUAAAUAUUUGGUAACACUAUCCAUCAGGUGCUUAGUUGUGAAAAACAGAUCACACUCUAGCUAGAAAAAUUUGUUACAGGAUGGUCACUAGCUCCAGAAUCUCCAGGGUCAGGCCUGGAGACAUCACAUCAGGGACAGUGCUCAGACCCCAGGGCUGGAGGUCAGAGAUGCCAGUCUUCCCCUGCUGUCCCUGAAGGUUAGAUGCCUUCCCCUCUACUUGCUCUUGAAAAGCAGGUGUCUGUCAUUGACAUCUGCUUCUUACAUUGUUUUCCCCAGAAAAGAAAUCUCACAUGGAUCCACUGAUUGGCAGGGCUGAGGUCACAUGUCUACACCCUAGCUGCAAGGGAGGCUGGGAAAGCUCCAAGUUCAGCUAGGUUAGUUGCUUCUAGAUCUGCUGCAUCCUGGAAUCUCCCCACAACCUCUUUCUGGAUAUUUUCCUUGCCUUUCUUCUGUGCUGGACCCUCUGCUUCCUCAUUUUAGUAGAGCAUCUCCAGUUGGAUGCUCUGAUUGAAUGAGUGGGCUUGUCAACUGCAGACUUCAUUUUUUCAGUGUUUUUCAUUUCAGUGGUUUUCAAUUUUUGUGGC